rnacentral:rRNA from 1 species
GAUGAACGUUGGCGGCGUGGAUUAGGCAUGCAAGUCGCGCGAGAAAUUUCCUUCGGGAAAUGGACAGCGGCGGAAGGGAGAGGAAUAAGUAGAAAUCUGCCCUCGGGACGGGGAUAGCGGUGGGAAACUGCCGGUAAUACCCGAUAACAUCUUUGGAUCAAAUGGUGUGAUUCCGCCUGAGGAUGAGUCUACUUCCUAUUAGCUAGUUGGUGGGGUAAUGGCCUACCAAGGCAACGAUGGGUAGCGGGUGUGAGAGCACGACCCGCCUCACUGGGACUGAGACACUGCCCAGACACCUACGGGUGGCUGCAGUCGAGAAUCUUCGGCAAUGGGGGAAACCCUGACCGAGCGACGCCGCGUGCGGGAUGAAGGCCCUUGGGUUGUAAACCGCUGUCGUAAGGGAACAAAUCCAUAGGGGUACUCCCCUAUGGUUGAGUGAUCUUAGGAGGAAGGACGGGCUAAGUUCGUGCCAGCAGCCGCGGUAAAGU